CUGAGGUCAUCGCUUCUUCGGAGGUGUUACCCGUCCUUAUGUCAUACGCACGGGCCGCGGCCACAUGGGCACACCCCCCUUCCGUGAGGCGGGGGAGCGCGUCUAUGGGGGCUGCGGAACGAGACACAUUUCCGCCGAGGUGGCGUGGCUCUCGAGCGAUCGAGGGGCACGUCCGCGGCGGGCCCAACCUCUUACAACUCUGCGAGAAUAUGAAGUCUGAACACCAAAUCAAAAUGAAAAGCA
rnacentral:misc_RNA from 1 species